rnacentral:tRNA from 1 species
GUCCAGUUAGCUUAUAUUAUAAAGCCUGAAACUCUUAAUUUCACUAAGAGGUAAAAUCCCCCUCACUAGACA